rnacentral:rRNA from 1 species
UAUCUUAGUGGCGGACGGGUGAGUAACGCGUGGGUAACCUGCCUUACACUGGGGGAUAACACUUAGAAAUAGGUGCUAAUACCGCAUAACAGGGAAAGAUGCAUGUCUUUUCCUUGAAAACUCCGGUGGUGUAAGAUGGACCCGCGUCUGAUUAGCUGGUUGGCGGGGUAACGGCCCACCAAGGCGACGAUCAGUAGCCGGCCUGAGAGGGUGAACGGCCACAUUGGGACUGAGACACGGCCCAAACUCCUACGGAAGGCAGCAG